rnacentral:lncRNA from 1 species
GGGGUUGUUUGUUUGUUUUUUUCUGAGACAGUUUCUCUAGAAACCCUGUCUGGAAAAAACAAAAACAAAAAAACAAAACAAAACAAAAAGAAAUAGAUGAAUCUCAACAAUAUUAUGGAAAGCAAAAUGAUGCCAUUUACAUAUUACCUAUGAGGUAGACGAAAUUGUUUGGAAAGGUGGGUUGAUAGAAAUAUAUAUUUUACAAAAUCUGUGGGUCAGAACUCGUGAAUAUUGUCCUGUGUAAAUUCAACCCCAAUUUAAAUGGUAUUAUAAAAGGGAAAUAACCAAUAAAGGAAUUGAGUAUACACUAUGGCUGAGAACUGUUUUACCAUAAUGUCAUUUGGGGUAACCUGUAUCUGUGUUCUUGAGACUCAGUUCUAGGGCCUGUGGCAUCUACUGGAGAUUAUGGCAGGAAUCAGGAGGCCACUGAGCAUGGUGAAUGAGAGCACAGGCAAGCUCCAUGGCUACCUGAUGUACUUGUCACUGUCAUGUAUGAGACACCUGUGUGACUGUCCAGGGAGAAUGAUCUUAGAAAAGAUCAACAAUGAUCAAGAAGAUAACACAGAUCAGAGUAGAAGGUCCUGCCUCUGCUGACAUGCCCAUACUAAGCUUCCUUUGGAGGCCUUUGAUUUUGUGGAUUAUAGAAAGAAGUAUUUAUUCAGACGGGAGAAUAUAGUCCUGUUGGUACUGAACUUGUGUUGAUGUUAAUCUGAGGUCACUGUUAAAACACUAGACAACCAUUGAGUUUUUUGUAUUGUUUUUAUGAUGGAGUGAGAAACUAAAAGAUGAUUGGACAGAAAAGAACUCCUUGCUCCAUGGUGGGAAUCAUAGGACUUCUGUCUUGACCAGUUAUGGGAAAAUUAAAUGCAGUACAACAACUGAAGCUUAAGAUUUAAGUUGGACUCAGCUCUAGCAGUGGCUUUUAGGGCACAAAUUAGAAUGAGCUGAUUUCAAAAACAAAAACCAUACCUAUGUUAAAGGUACCAAAAGACCAACUGCCUGAUGAGAAGUUGGUGAUUGUGGAGAGUUAGAAAUUUGCAGAUCCACAGCCAAACUUCUCUUAAUCAUUUUAGUAUAGUAGCCAUUUGUCAACCCUGUCUGGAUCUGAAUUCUCAUCUUGUUCCCCACCGGGGCAACUUUGGGAAUGUAUUAUGUCAACAGACCAGUAACUUGCCACCAGAGAAGAUCUAAAUCUUUUUUAACAUAAUAUCUCCCUGCUUUGCUGAAACCCAUUUACCUGGUGCUCUCACUAUUUUGUGAAUGUCUUAAUUUGUGACUUUCUUUUGUUCUGUAACUAUAAAAAAAUUCAUGUAACUGCUUCUGUGAUGAAAUGUCAUUUGGGGUAACCUGUAUCUGUGUUCUUGAGACACAAUAACUCAUAUUUGGCUUACAAUAAACUCUUGUGUUCUCUU